AUAGUUAAUUUUAUUAAUCAAAAAAAAUCUGUUCUUAUCAGUUUAAUAUCUGAUACGUCUCCUACCUGGGGACCAUAUAUUAAAUUGAUUUUUGGAGCAGGGAGAUGGAAUAGGGGCUUGCUCCGUCCACUCCACGCAUCGACCCGGUAUUGCAGUACAUCCGGGAAUGGUGCAUCCUCU
rnacentral:snRNA from 1 species